rnacentral:lncRNA from 1 species
ACGACGACGGGUCUCCUGGCGCCGAUCCUGCCCACGAGAGACGAGAAGCCCAGCGCGGAGCGGAGGCGCGUCCCCGGCACAGGCUGAGGAGAACUGGACGUGGACAGAGCUCCAGGAGCAGCUCCGCGGGAGGAGCGAGGGCCCUUCCCGAGGAAGCUGAGCUGUGCGGGGAGAACGGGGAGACGCGAGCCGAGGCUUCCAGUUGCAUCUGCGGGGAAGAGGAGCUUUCCUUCUGCAUCAGUUAAGGGAACUGUGGACAUUCCAGCCGUCCAGCUGCAGUAGACAGGACAUGAAGAAACUUACAUCAGAAGCUUCCAUCUAGCUUUUCACAGGUAUGAAAGAAAAAAGUCCUU